UACUGGGUGCGUCUGCGUGUGUGUGUUUGUGCGAGUGCGUGCGUGCGUGCGCGCUCGCGUCCGUGCGUUGAAGAGCACAUGGACGAAAGAAGACGAGAUUUAGCAGCGCUAAUUAACGCAGCCCAUCGCCUGGGGAAAAUAGGCAGCACGGGAUACCAGAAAUGCGGACACAGUGUUGUGUUGCUCUUGUGAGAGUGAAAACGAAAAUGAUGGCGGGAAAGUGAUGCCUGUAGUAGUGAUGCCUUUUCCAGUGGAGGUGUUGCACGUCAGGGUGCAGAAAUGCCCUACAGGAGACAAAAUAAGAGAGAAAUCGCACCUCUCGUGAAUUGCUUGCUAUGAACAUCCCUGCUUUCACUACGUUUUGAGUGGGACAUCAGGAAUUUUUCCAUCCUUACUAAACCACAUGAAAACCUUUCCUUAAAGCCGUUUCGACCGGGCGGGGAUACCGAUAAGAGACGCGGCUUCGGUAAGGUGAACGAGUGAGAAGCGAGACCUUCAGAUUAAAUCUGCUUACACGUACCUUAAGCUCAUCAAAGAGCAGAGUGAAGUGGAGGAUCUCGGCGAACUGACGCGCAAGAGCCUGCUCCUGCUCCAAGUGCUGCGUGGGGCUGCAGUGUGCGCUCGUUAGGAAUCCCAGCAGGCCGUGCAGGGUUCCUUCUACACAACCAAGACAGAGACCUACAGCAUUUCGGGACUGGAACCGAACCAACGGCGACGCGGCCCUUUUGUGGUGGAAAUGAACAAAACAGCUGGAGAUUAAACAGCAGCUGUGGAACAGACUCCUGCAACACGAUGCUGUUCUUUAUUGUCCUGUGUACACACACAAACACACGUCGUACAGUACACUCACCUGUCUAAUGGCUUCUCCAGCUCCACUGUAGGACCGCAGAUCCUCUAAAACACUCAUGGCCUCCAUCAGAACCUUGUUCACCUGUUCCCAUAACUCUCUCUCUGCCUCGGUGGGCCGAGCAUCUGCGGAAACAGCAACACACAGAAUGUACAGUCGGGUUAUCGUGUGUAUAAAAAUGGUUACAGCAGACGUUUUGAUACGAAACAGACGUAUAGAGGAAUGCUCUGUUAGCACAUGAGUUCAUUCAUGUUUAAAGACUGCUCUGAUCUUACUGGAACACACUUAAUAUUAAAACUGUAUUAAAUAACAUGUCCCAGUCAUCCAAUGUGUUUCCAUCUGCAUUAAGAUGAAACACAUUUGUAAUUAUAAAAGAUACACACGCUACAUAAACUUACUUUCAAAGUCCAGGAAGAAAUUCCCCGCAUUGUUGUCGAUGUCCCUCGUCAGAACCUUGAUCAGAUUCCCCAUGCCGUCCAAUCAGAAACCCUACGAGAGGAAGAGGACGGAGUUUAGUGACGCAUCACGCUGAGAAUAUAAAGAUCAUGUUACUGUGUCGUGUUGUGCGUCUGCUUGGGUCCAAUAAAUCAGUGAUGUCGAACAUUUGUCUUUUUGAACAUUUCGGAAUAGUUACCCCCCCACCCCCCACCACAUACACACCCCUGGCUAGAAUCACACCGAUCCCGGUUUGUCCCAUCUGUACUCCUUUAACAUCUCUGUAAACACAUGCAAAAAUGUGUGACAGAACAGCUGUUUAAGGCAGUGCAGUUAGAGGAAGACCAACCCACUACCACACACACACACACUGCCCAGUCACACCAGGAUAAAACAUAUGAUUGAUAGUCAUAGAAACCUUCAACAUGUGUUAAAGCACAAUAUUCCUGUGAUACAAUAAAAAUGUACAGCAAAAAAAAAUAAAUCUUGCCUGAAUAUUUUCUUUGUGAAAACCAGCAUGAUUUAUCCUGUUACGGUUUGAUGUAUAGAAAAUAAACAUUUUAUUUUACCACAAACAAAUACAAUUCUUCAUUAAAUGUGUUAACGUUUCAGAGAUCGAUCGGUUCCUCCCCUAAUUCUUAAAUAUCACUGGCUUCUUCCACUGCACUUUUUCUGGACCUCGUCUCAGGCACCUCUGGCUCUCUCAUUCAGGACUAAAAUCUGAAUCCGAACCUUUGAGAUAA